GGAGGAACACCGAAGACCCAAUCUAGUACGUUCAAGUAUUUUGAUCGAAAUACGUCUCUUUCUUGUGCGUAACAAUGCAUUAUAAUGGCUGUCGAAACGCUGAACACAACCACAUCCGCUCUUCUUAAACUCUUGGGCGGUCGAAUGUAUCCUGCCUCUGUCAUGCAAGUAAAGAAGCUCUCUAUCGCCCUCGCUAAGCAGUAUAGUGAUAUCUCUAUCCUUCUGCUUUUCUUCUCAAUAGCUAAAGCCAGACCUGUUGGGAACUGCAGGAGAAGCCUAACGUUAGGUAUUAUAUUA